CCUUGGUGAUGACACCCGCACGCGUCUUACGCCGUGUCAAUGCCAGACCUGCAAAGGUGAACCCACUGGCGUUGCCACGGCAACAAGGGGACAGCUUUGUUGGGGUUUCCAACAGUCUGAAAGGA